GAAUUGGGUGGGAAGGGGGACCACCGUCCAACAAAUGAGUUUGUGCAUCACACAAUGCAUGUGUCAAGCGCAUGGCCAAAUAGACCCAUCACGUGAGCUGGGUUUAGACCGUCGUGAGACAGGUUAGUUUUACCCUACUGAUGAAGUGUUGUUGCAAUAGUAAUUCAACUUAGUACGAGAGGAACCGUUGAUUCGCAUAAUUGGUAUUUGCGGUUAGCUGAACAGCUAGUGCCGCGAAGCUAACAUGCGCAGGAUAAUGGCUGAACGCCUCUAAGUCAGAAUCCAUACUAGAACGCGAUGAUGUUUACCCAUUCCAUAUUUUGAUGAUUUGCAAUAGGACCUUGUGUCCCGGAAUCAUAUCUGGGUGACGCCUUGCCGGCGGAAGUGCAGGCAGGCUAGCCCACCAUCGUAAUUUCAAAUAUUGGAAUGGAUAAAUCCUUUGCAGACGACUUAAAUAUCGCAACGGGGUAUUGUAAGCGGUAGAGUAGUCUUGUUACUACGAUCCGCUGAGAUUAAGCCUUUGUUGCUUAGAUUU
rnacentral:ncRNA from 1 species